rnacentral:rRNA from 1 species
AGAGUUUGAUCAUGGCUCAGGAUAAACGCUGGCGGCGUGCAUAACACAUUCAAGUCGAACGGACGAUACGAGAAACUUCGGUUUUUGUAAAGUUAGUGGCGGACGGGUGAGUAACGCGUGAGCAAUCUGCCUUUGAUAGAGGGAUAACACAUGGAAACGUGUGCUAAUACCGCAUAACGUUAAAGAACCGCAUGAUUCUUUAACCAAAGCUCCGGCGAUCAAAGAUGAGCUCGCGUCCGAUUAGCUAGUUGGCAGGGUAAAGGCCUACCAAGGCGACGAUCGGUAGCCGGACUGAGAGGUUGAACGGCCACAUUGGAACUGAGAACGGUCCAGACUCCUACGGGAGGCAGCAGUGGGGAAUAUUGGGCAAUGGAGGCAACUCUGAACCCCCAGCGACGCCGCGUGAAGGAAGAAGGUCUUCGGAUUGUAAACUUUAGUUAUCAGGGACGAAGGAAGUGACGGUACCUGAAGAGAAAGCCACGGCUAACUACGUGCCAGCAGCAGC